AUUUGAGUAUCAAGGAAGUAGACCAAGUGGCUAGCUACAGCUUACACAGCUAGUUGAUGGUUGGUCCAGUGGCCAUAAUGAAUAUCUAUUAAUUUCAGAUGGUGCAGAGCUGUGCAACUUUAAACAAUCUUCUUACACUUUCUGAGUUACAUUUCCUUAUCUAUAAAAAGUACAGUUUUAUGGGAUUUGUGACCCCUUUGGGUAGCCAGUGGGGAUAGCAUAGUCUUCUUAUAGACUUUUAUUCACAAAGCAGAGCAGUAUAUGGGAAAAAUAGUGAGUUGGGAGCCAGGAGCUCCUAGUGACCCAGCCAUGUGACCAGAGGAAAUACUUCGGGCUUCAGUUUUCUUCCCUGACAUAGAGGUUGGCCUGGGUCACCUUUGGGAUCCCCUCUUUUUUUAGACAGCUUUCUUCUGGGCAGACAUGAAAAUUUAGUAAGAGUUAGCACGUGCCAUGUGCCAGGCACUAUUCUAGGAGCUUUCCUUGUAGUAGCUCAUGUCAUCUUCACUACCGCCCCGUGAAGUAGACACUGAUAUGAGCCCUACUUAGAAGAAGAAGCUGAGGCCUGGAGAGGCGCAAGGUCAUUCAGGGGAGCCUGGACAAGCGGGUACUGCCCUCCCUUCUGCAGAGGAAGAAUUCAGGCUUCCAGCAGCCAAGGGCUUGCUUGCGUGCGGCUGUGUCAGGACUGCAAUUCAAGCCCCUAGUUUCUUGUUCAGGGCUUUCUUCACUCCACGAAGACCAUCAUUCUAACAUCCUACAAAUGUCCGGUGCAAAUGUCUGUGUGAAAUAUAUGCUCUUUUCUGUCUGUUUACUUCAGACUCUGGGGAGAGAUCGGAGAGACAUUAGUAACUUCUUUUUUCUUUCCUCAAGUCCCUGUGACGAAAUGACUGUUUCUGCAGUGCUUGUUUUCUGGGCCCUGGAAAGAUUCCAAAGCUGUCACUGUGUUUUCCAUCUGGCACUUUUUCAAGAAUCUCUCUGCUGCUUCCUGCAGCCUGGAGGUCGUCCUGCAGAGGCCCCUCUACCACCCCUGACAGGCUGGUGGGGCAGGACAUAGGCAUCACGGAGCUGUGCAAUAGGCAGGAACAGCUUGACGAGGGGGCGGGCGCCCCAUUGCGUGCAAACUCACUCCAAGACGGGGAAGCGGCCCCCAGAGACAUGGUUUUCAAAAGUAGAAAACUACCUGCUAAUUUGUUACGGAAACUUUAAGUAUUGAAUGAAUCUAGUGAUUUUUUAAAAUAUAAUUCAACCUAUGGGAAAAAAUCCAGCUUGACUUUCUUGAAACACUCACGGGUCACACUAUUUGGAAAGCAACACUGAAAAGAAACUUUGGAACUUCCAAGGGAAUGUGGAUGGUGAGUGAGCCUCUGCAUUACAGAGUUUGAGCCGUCCCACCUCCCCAAGAACGCUCAGGACCUCAAAGACCCAGCCAGAAAAGACCAAAGAGAUGAUGGAAGUCACAGCUUUGCAGAAACUUCAGAAAAUUUGUGUUUACAAAAGGGUUUGCAAUAAAAGCUGCUGCUCACGUUUUCCUUCUGAAAUAGGUCAAGGAAGUGAAACUCUGGAAGGUAACUCACAGGGCCUUCUCCUCGCAGCUGGAGACAUCUCUUCUUUCUCCUACAAGAACAUUUGUGUUUGGAUUUAGAGCCAACCAAGCUAAUCCAAGACGAUUUUCUCAUCUCAAGAUGCUCAACUUAGUUCCCUCAAUGAAGACCCUUUUCCCAAGUGCAGGAUUCCUCUGGACCUGUAAGAAGCUGACGGGCAUUGUGGCCACCGUACGAUGGCGUAGGGGACCUGGCAUUUCCCAGACUCUUUCCCUUCCGACCAGCUGGAAGCUGGAGCUGGGAGCAGCAGUGACCUAGCUUCAACCAUGCAGGUGAUGACGGAGUUACAGGAAGGGAGGAGCUGUGCUCCCUGAAAGACCUGUGGAACAGCGCUGGCCCUCCUGUCUGGGAUGCUUGCACUGGGGCUAAGUGACAAAGACAUAAAGGUUUGAAGUACGUAAUAAUAAAACUGAAAGUGAUCAAGAGAAUUUGUUGGCUACAGAUAUAUUCUGACUUCAGGAUAAUUUCAGUUCCACUGUUUGGUAAUAUCACCAGGAAUUGUUUUAUCUUAGACUUUGGGCUGCCUUGCUCUCGUAUUUUGACUGCUUCUUAAAAUGCCCCUCCACGUCCCAAGAUAACUACCAGCACCUUCUGGAAUUCAUGCAGCCUCAUUCAUUAUAAACAGAAAAGACUAUCUUUGUCCCCAAGUAGGGAAAACAUUGCUUCACCAAACAUAUGUUAAGAUCUUAUUCUUUGCCAAGUACUAGUGACGCAGAAAUGAGUCAGACGUGAUUGCUUAAAUGGGAAAGCUCGGAGUCAUCAUCUGGACAUCCACAAUAUUCCUAUUUCCUUCUGCGUAAAGAUUGUUUUUAAAAAUGCUCGUAUUCUGCGAUUUAUGAAGUGUGUUGAUGAGGUAUGUUUAUGAGAAUUCAAACGUGAUGGUUGACGUGCUAGCAGCCAUCUUGUGACCAUGAGUCAACCUUGAAGAUGUAAGCCCUGUGCCAAGGUUGGUGAGCAGGAACAAGAAAGUGCAGGAAGACGGGUCAGUCAUGUAGCUCCGACUGUACUGCUGGGCCAUCUACCCCUGGACAUUUUUAAUAGAAAAAGAACAAAGAGGAAGAGGAGUGGAAAGGGAAGGGAAAGACGAGGUGAAGGUGAAAAGAGAAGGAGAAAGGAGGAGGAAAGGAGGCAAUCACCGGAAGGUCAUCAGCCAGGUGGAGAGAGACGCUUAACCAGGUCCCGGAAGAGCUCCAGAGGCUCCUGUGAUGGUUCUGUCCAGGGGAGGAAAAAACACAGGGAACAUGAGCAGCCAUCCCCAAACAGGUGGAGCCCUCUGAGAUGACCAGAGGUGUUUCCACAGGUGUUUAUUGAAUGACUAAUAUGUGCCAAGCACUAACCCAGGUGGUGGAACACAUCAGUGGACCAACUUGAGCCGCUCUGUCUGUGUCUAGCUUAGGGCCCCAGGGACAGACUGACAAUAAUAUCACCAACAGGUAAAUUUGUGAUGUCCAGUGGGGUUAAACUUAUUCCCUAAGAAUCUGAGAUCAUGUCGAUGGUAACUAAACAGAAUCUAAGGAGAACGAUUCCUCAGCUGCUGCGUUUCAGUCUGAACUGCCUGAUAAUGCAGUGUAAGACUGGAGAGUCCUCUGUGCUGAAACAUGCACAUUGAGGCAAAACCAGGCGAGUUGUAGACAGAUGAAAGUGUUGGAUGCAGGGAUGGGGCCAGACAAUCUCGUCAAGCCUGCCAACCUUGAGACUCCAUCACCUCUUAUUUUCUACCUCCUCUUUUGCAAUAUCCUCUUUCUUUGCAGAACUCUCUAGAAGCAAUAAGAGUUGACUCCAUGGUGUAAGAGACUGAGUGAUAAGGAAAAGAUUUUCCACAUAGCCUUGUGAUGGAGUAACCAAAAUGACCUCUAAGGUUUGCCAGAAAAAAGCUAGACCUGCGAAGAAAGGAACGCAUUUUGGGCGGCUCCCCCGUGCUCCUCGGGGCCACAAGUACUCGAGGAAGUGACUGUUCCCUGGGUGGUGGCCAGACGCUCGGCUCCCAGGAGUCCGGCCGCCCUGAGGGCGGGGCCGGGAGGUGGAUGGACCGGAAGACCGCGCGUCUAGGGAGACUGAGUCACGUCCGGGUCAGAGCACGCGGCUUGACAGCCGGGGGAACGAAAUGCUGGUCUGGGGCGGAAUUUGAACUUUAGGUGGUUAAUUUCUACAGGCAAGAUCUCUGCUCCAUCUCGCGUCCUAAGAAAGGAGGGGUGUGUUUCUAAGCACAUACAGGCGCUCACACACUUUGCUGAUGUAUAUUCUCUACGUGCCUAAGCAUUGUAAUUUAGAUUUUGAUCUAGAAAAUUAAAAAUAAACGUCUAAGAGUUCCAUGCCAAAA
rnacentral:lncRNA from 1 species